CAGAUGCAUGCUAUGAGCUGUCUUCUUGUAGCAGGAAGAGGUCGUGCUGAGCCAUCCACACUCUUGCCUGGUACCCCGGUGACCAACAGCAUCUCUUAAGAAUGAACACAAUGAUGAGUGGGACAGCAGUAGUCAUGGGGUAGAGUGGAGUCAGAGAACAGCACAGGAGAGAGAUGGAGAGUGGUAUUAUAAAAGAUUUGAGAUGAAGCUUCAAGCCAGAGAAGAAAUAAGAACUGGGAAAUCCAACAUUCCUUACCUGGAAUAGGUUUACAGGAUUUGCCAAGGACCUUUUUAUGGUAAGAAAAAAAAAAGGAAGGAAGGAAGAUACAACUGAUCAAAUUCUAUCACUGUAUGACUAAGAUUCUGACAACAUUUCAGGUUUUUGUUCACUUUUGAAUUGUGACUUUCCAACAAAAUCUUCCCCUUUUAUUGAAUCUGACCCCUGUAGCCUCAAUUCAAGACUAUUCUGUUUUAACAGAGAAGCACAUGUAAAGAAAGAGCUUUACCCACCAACCCAUGUACCGAUUCUUGGAGCUUUACCUGAGUUGGGUAGUUGACAAACUGUAAUGCAGAGUUGCUGGAGACCAUGGCACCCAGAUAAGAGAGAGAGCAGGCUGCAUAGAGCCAGCUCCUGGUCCGAUCCACCC